rnacentral:rRNA from 1 species
CCUACGGGUGGCAGCAGUGGGGAAUAUUGCACAAUGGGGGAAACCCUGAUGCAGCGACGCCGCGUGAGUGAAGAAGUAAUUCGUUAUGUAAAGCUCUAUUAGCAGGGAAGAAAAAGACGGUACCUGAGUAAGAAGCCCCAGGUAACUACGUGCCAGGAGCCGCGGUAUUACGUAGGGGGCAAGCGGUAUCCGGAUUUACUGGGUGUAAAGGGCGAGUAGACGGGAGUGCAAGUCUGGAGGGAAAGGCGGGGGCUCAACCCCCGGAGUGCACUGGAAACUGUACGGCUUGAGUGCAGGAAAGGAAAGUGGAAGUCCUAGUGUAGCGGUGAAAUGCGUAGAUAUUAGGAGGAACACCAGUGGCGAAGGCGGCUUACUGGACUGCAACUGACGUUGAGGCUCGAAAGCGUGGGGAGCAAACAGGAUUAGAUACCCCAGUAGUC